rnacentral:rRNA from 1 species
UACGAAGGGGGCUAGCGUUGUUCGGAAUUACUGGGCGUAAAGCGCGCGCAGGCGGUCUUCCAAGUCAGUGGUGAAAGCCCGGAGCUCAACUCCGGAAUUGCCUUUGAUACUGAAGAUCUUGAGUUCGGGAGAAGUGAGUGGAACUGCGAGUGUAGAGGUGAAAUUCGUAGAUAUUCGCAAGAACACCAGUGGCGAAGGCGGCUCACUGGCCCGAUACUGACGCUGAUGCACGAAAGCGUGGGAAGCAAACAGG